GUACACCCUGGACAGGGUGUCAAUCCAUCGCAGGGCACAAUCACAUACACACUCACACACCCAUUCAUACACUACAGACACUUUAGACACACCAAUCAGCCUACCAUGCAUGUCUUUAGACUGGGGAAGGAAACCGGAGUACACGGAGGAAACCCCCGUAGCACGGGGAGAACAUGCAAACUCCACACACACAGAGCCCCGGCGGGACUCGAACCUCACACACCCCUGGAGAUGUGAGGCGAACAUGCUAACCACUAAGCCACCGUGCACCCAAAAAGCUUUCAAGAAUGCCUUUGACAAAAGAAGAACUUAUGGCUGGAUUGGGAAGCUGUCGCAAGGUUGUGAUGGACUUGCGAUGAACAGGAAACAUGGCAAGCACAUCACACACGACACUGCUGUUAAACUGGACAUGCCUGGACGUGUUGUGGACCAACCGAGAAUUGGACGUCCAUGAACAUCCACCGACGAAGGCACAACCACCGUGGUGUUGGCAAACAUAGUCCCCU
ensembl:lncRNA